GACUCGACUCGUUCGUGAACGUCACAUUUCUGACCAUAAUGUUAAUUUUUAAGCCAAACAUACAUGCUAUGAUUCAGUAGCAGUGUGCCUCCGUGGCAAGAGAUACAUAAACUGCGUCAGGAGACUUUAUUCCACUCAAGACGACGAAGAGAGAGGAGUCUGCCUGACUGGCUCACUGACAGUGGAUGAGAAGCCAGUAGCAGGAGACUUUAUUCCACUCAAGACGACGAAGAGAGAGGAGUCUGCCUGACUGGCUCACUGACAGUGGAUGAGAAGCCAGUAGCAGGCUGGUGUUUGAUUGGUGUUGGGACACCAAAUAAUUGGACUCAAAGGGGAGGGGCCUUCAAUGAGACCCUGCAGUGGAAUGGAAGGCAAGUUGACGUUACAGCGCAGUGCCCUCUAGUGGAUAAAAGUAGGCAGUGCAGGCAAUUCAAACUAAGGUAAUGCAGUGGUUUGAUUGAUUGAGUGAGACUUUUAUUAGUAGAUUGCACAGUACAGUACAUAUUCCGUACAAUUGACCACUAAAUGGUAACACCCGAAUAAGUUUUUCAACUUGUUUAAGUCGGGGUCCACGUUAAUCAAUUCAUGGUGUCAAACUCCUUUUCAUUGAGGGCCACAUCGCAAUUACAUCUGCCCUAAGAGGGUUGCUUGUAUUAAUAUAAAUGUAUAAGGAUUCGCCUCAUGAUAUUACGUGAUUGCCUAUGCAUUUGAUUAUUUUUUUACAACACUGUUAAAAUAUAUAAUUAUACAGUAAAAAAAACUGGCAGCUCAGUUGCCAAAAUUUUAUUGUAAAAUUCAGUGAUUUUUUUACAGCAUAAUAUUGUAAAUUGAAAAUUGAUAACACAUUUUUGAAAAUAGAAAUUAAAAAAUAGACGACUGAGCCGCCAGUGUUUUACCAGGUGUUGUCUUUACAGUGUUACUGCAAAUGGUGAAAAAAGGUUCCAGUGUUUCGUUUUUUUUUACAGUAAAAUUUUGCUGCCAGUUUUUUACCGUAAAAUAUGUUGUCUUUUUUACAGUGUAAAAUUUGAUGGGUAACUUGCUGCUU